rnacentral:rRNA from 1 species
GAUGAACGCUAGCGGCAGGCUUAACACAUGCAAGUCGAGGGGUAUUGGUUUUCGGACCAAGAGACCGGCGCACGGGUGCGUAACGCGUAUGCAAUCUACCUUUUGCAGAGGGAUAGCCCCAGAGAAAUUUGGAUUAAUACCUCAUAGUAUAGUACUUUGGCAUCAGGGAACUAUUAAAGUCACAACGGCAAAAGAUGAGCAUGCGUCCCAUUAGCUAGUUGGUAAGGUAACGGCUUACCAAGGCUACGAUGGGUAGGGGUCCUGAGAGGGAGAUCCCCCACACUGGUACUGAGACACGGACCAGACUCCUACGGGAGGCAGCAGUGAGGAAUAUUGGACAAUGGGCGCAAGCCUGAUCCAGCCAUGCCGCGUGCAGGAUGACGGUCCUAUGGAUUGUAAACUGCUUUUAUACAGGAAGAAACACUCCGACGUGUCGGAGCUUGACGGUACUGUAAGAAUAAGGAUCGGCUAACUCCGUGCCAGCAGCCG